UUUCAUUAAAAGAUCAUGUACAAGGGAAUUUACAUUACUAUUCGGGCCAAGCACAAUACUAAACCAUAAAAUAUUCUCUACAUUACUUUGCAUAAAAUCAUUUUACAAUACAUGUCCACUCUAACUAUUACACUUAACUUGACUUCAACCUUGAAGACUCCCCGGUCUAUCAUGAACUUGCAAGCCUGGGGGUUAAGGGAAAGGGGGUGAGCUAAAAAGCCCAGUGAGCAGAACAAAAAUAACAUAUUCAUAAAUUAUGCUUCAAUGGAAUGCAUCACAACACAUACAAUUCACAUCACAGAUGGACUUGUCACCAAUAACCCUCUACAUAGCCAAUGUGCCCGGCCCUCGACGGAGCUCCGCAGGACUUCCUCUUAAACAUCACACAAUGCCAAAACGCGUGGACAUGGGCAGCCCUGGACUUUCGUAAAUCAUACAUAAUAAAUGCCAGGACGCGUGGACAUGUGCAGCCUUGGACUUUUAUUAAUCAUCAUAUCAUAUUGAGGGCUAAUGGAUCAUCCAACAUCCAUCCACAUCAACAACAUAGAAUGCAAUGCAGCAUAUUCGUGAGAUUCUAAUGCAACAACCUAAAGUAUAUCAUGGCAUUCAUGAUGCAUGAACAUGCUCAAAACUGCAUUAUUUUAAAACAUAGUUCAGUUCUACUCACCUCUGGCUGACUCUGAACAGACUCUGAAGCAGCUAUCUCACUGUUGGGGUCCUCGGGUCCGAACCUACACAGGUGGACUAAAAUGAGGGACCAAACAUACACUAAAAUGACUCUAAACAACUCCCCAAAAACCCCUUAAAAC
rnacentral:lncRNA from 1 species